rnacentral:rRNA from 1 species
AUGUUAUUUUCUGGUUCUGUAUAUGCGUUAUGUUACAAAUUCUUGUGGAGGAAAAGUGUGAGCUUCGCUAUUUCCAGGCAUUACAGACUCUUUAAUGUCUUGGGAGGGAAAACAAGGCGAACAAGGCUGGUAAAGUAUGAUAAUGCUUUAAUCGACAAGCAAACAGAGUUCUACAAGAUAAGGAUAAAACCCAUUAUUCAUCAGCUGAGCUUCCUGUUACGAACUUACGAUUGGGCAACGGCACCCCGCACCCCCCCUCUGCAAAUCCAUGCAAGCCAUGCAUGGACUCGUAGGCCGUGUCUGCCGAGGCGUUCGUGUCCUUGGGAACCCUUCUGGGAUGCCCCCAUUGCGAAGCAGCCAUGCGGACAUCGUCGACGGCCACAGUCGAGGACGUCGCCAAAAGUAACUGUAGUUGGUUCAGUGAAUCGCCCUUACCAUCUAGUUUUUGAUAAAAGUUACAAGGUUGGAAUGUUAUAG